AUUGUGAUUACAGAGGAGCCAGAGUGGAAAGACUGUAUUCAAGGUUCAAAUGCUGUUGUAAAUUUGGCUGGAAUGCCCAUAAGUACAAGAUGGUCUCCUGAGGGAGAAACUGAGCCUGGGGCAAAACACUUCUCUUGAUGAUGAUUUAUCAGACAGACUUAUGCCACUGGGACUCAGUUGUUGAUCAACAGUUUAGAUAACUAUAAAGAACAAAAUGACAGCAAAGAACAGGACCUAG